AUUGAACGCUGGCGGCAUGCCUUACACAUGCAAGUCGAACGGCAGCGCGGGCUUCGGCCUGGCGGCGAGUGGCGAACGGGUGAGUAAUACAUCGGAACGUGCCUAGUAGUGGGGGAUAACUACUCGAAAGAGUGGCUAAUACCGCAUGAGAUCUACGGAGGAAAGCAGGGGAUCGCAAGACCUUGUGCUACUAGAGCGGCCGAUGGCAGAUUAGGUAGUUGGUGGGAUAAAAGCUUACCAAGCCGACGAUCUGUAGCUGGUCUGAGAGGACGAUCAGCCACACUGGGACUGAGACACGGCCCAGACUCCUACGGGAGGCAGCAGUGGGGAAUUUUGGACAAUGGGCGCAAGCCUGAUCCAGCAAUGCCGCGUGCAGGAUGAAGGCCUUCGGGUUGUAAACUGCUUUUGUACGGAACGAAAAGCCCUGGGUUAAUACCCUGGGGUCAUGACGGUACCGUAAGAAUAAGCACCGGCUAACUACGUGCCAGCCGCCGCUGUAAAAC
rnacentral:rRNA from 1 species